UUAAUAUUUAAUUUGUGACUCCUCCUCUUCCACUCCUCAAUCAUUUUCGCUCUCUGAGUCUCAGUCUCCCCCUCUCCCUCUUCAACUCCUCUCUAGGGUUUCCAAAAUGGAGCAGUCGCGCCAGCCACUACCACUUCCACCCGAUGACGGCAGCGACGGACGGUACCAACCGGCAAAACCAUGAUGCAGUCUCGACAUUUCUAUUGGGCCAGAGAGGGUUCAGGUCGCGGCCUGAGUCCGCGAACUCGAGGAAGGCCCAGUGGAAGGAGUGCAGGGCGGGGUCCUCACAGCGUGUGUUGAGCCGCGUCACCGAGUUGGCCACGACUCAGAGGGACUCGGUGCAAUCGAGUCUAAGGAGGAACGACUCGUCGUUGGAGAUGAUCUUCCACACGCCCUUGAGGUUCACCGUGUCGUUUUGGACGCGCACGAUGGUGGCGUCGGAGAGUGAGUAACAGAGGUGGAGGAGCUUUGACAUCACACCGUCGAUCUCAAAUGCCAGAACGUUGACAUUCUGCUUCGCUUUGAAAGAAGGUUUCUUCUUCAGGAGCUUCGGCGGAAUCAAGUCGAUGCUAUUUGAUAUGGCGGUUUUGACCUUCACGAGGAGUGUCUUGAGGUCCAUGGUUGAGGUUUGAAGAGAAACUUGUUGGGUUAUUUAAGCUAUAGAGCGAAGUGAUGAAGGAGUGAGGGCACCAUGUGUUUGAGAAAAUGUGUAUGUUUACAACACAAAACAGCCUAAGCAGAUCCACGAGAUUAAGGAUUUCCUUUUGAUGGCGCAGAGGAAGGAUGCGAGGUAAAAAGAUGAAUAUGAAGAACAUGAAGGUUCUGAAUGUUCUAGGUGGCGCGGGGAUCUCUGUGCUGCUGAAGCUUGGGAUUGUUGGUGGGAUUGGUUUGUAUGCAGCUGCUAACAGUCUCUACAAUGUUGACGGAGGUCACUGAGUCAUUGUUUUCAACCGUCUAGUUGGUGUCAAAGACAAGGUCUAUCCUGAAGGAACUCACUUCAUAAUUUUGUGGUUUGAGAGGCUGGUUAUCUAUGAUGUCUGUGCACGACCCCAUAUAGUUGAAAGUACAUUUGGGAGUCGUGAUCUACAGAUGUGUUGUCUCAAGGAAGCAAUAAUAUAUCAAGUCAAUCUUUAUCAUAGUGGCCUACUUCUAACCAUGACACCUAAACUAACUGUUAAAAGCAAGAAUCUAAAACUGCACCAUAACAAGAGCAACCUUCAUCUGAGGUGGAACUGAAGCAAUGCAGAUCUCUUGCGGAACAACUACAACAUGUUGCUUCUCAGGACAUAAAAAAUCCUAAUUUAUCAUAGAAACAAUCUCAAGAUGAAUGUCACCAAGCACCAAUUGUACAAGUUUCCCUCCACAAUUCUCGAGCUAUCGGAAUUCAGAUUUCUAGAAAAGAUCCAGUCCUUAAUAACCUAUAUGGUAUUUCUAAUAAAACUUAAUCCACUUGGUGCUACGUUCUGCAGAAGGGAUUAAAAAAGAGUAUGCCACUGCCAGGAGGAAGGUUGUUGAUAGAUGUGAUCCAGAGAAAAAAAGCUUAUUCUAGAAUGUUCAAAUAGAGUUUUUGCAAUAAUGUUUUCCCCCUUUGGACUUGGGUAAUGAUUCUUCAACAGAGGAUUCGGGUGAAGCACUUGUUAUUUUAGUUGUCACUUCCUCUUCAACAAUUAUGUCUUGGCCUUUUGCGUUCCUUGCUGUGUACAGUUGCCCCAUUGUGUUUCUUUUGUUCAUGCUCCAUGAUCUAUUGGAGUAAAUCUUCUUCAAUCUUGAUAACACUAACUCAUGGGUAGCCUCAGCUGCAAGUUUUUGCUCCAUGGAAACAGAAACACAGGAAGAGUGGUUCUUCCAUAGAUUGAAAGCUGGACGCCCAAUUCCUAUCCCCAGCUCAGGACUACAGAUAACCCAACUUGGUCAUGUUAAGGAUUUGGCAAAAGCUUUUAUCCAAGUUCUUGGUAAUGAGAAGGCUAGCAAGGAAGUAUUCAACAUCUCCGGAGAGAAGUAUGUCACGUUUGACGGAUUAGCAAGAGCAUGUGCUAAGUAUUAAUGGCUUCUUCAUCAUGUUUGUCAAAUAUUUCAAUUAAUUCUGGUCCCGUUGAUGGUGACGUGUUAUGGAUGCAAGAUAAGCAUAUUUCACAGCAUAUUUGGAAUGGGGAAGAAGAUAGAAAACUACAUAUUAGAAGAGUUGUCCCCAUAUAUCAAGGUCUCCGUGUGGAUGGGUCACCGUUAAUUGGUCCAACAAACCUUAGUUGGGCUGAUUUAUGUGAAGAAUUGUCAGGAGUCAGACCAGAAGAAGGUGAACUGCAAGGCAGUAUGAUUAAAUUAAGUUGGUUGGCUCACCAUUUUCUAGAUUUAAAUAACCAUGGUGGUAAUUUAGAACAGGUAGAAAGGUUUACCCGUGCAUGGAUCUUUUGAUUCAUUGGAGGUGUCUUAUUUGUUGACAAAAACAGUAAUAAAGUUUCGGUAAGAUACCUGUAAUUUUUACGUGACUUUAGAGAGUGCAGCACACAUUCAUGAGGAUCUGUUGUACUUGGUUAUUUAUAUAGAGAUGUGCAGCGCCACCAAUUAUAAAACUAAAUCAAUUGGAGAUAUGUGCAUCUUAAUACAAAUGUGGGCAUGGGAACAAUGUACAACUCUAACUCCAAGAAGGACUCCUCCCAUAAUAGAAAACAAACCACUUGGACACAGGUGGCUACGACGGGGAAAUCAACAUAUUGGUAAUGAUGAUUUGAUACUUUUUCGUCGUAAACUAGAUAUUAUGAAACGACAUGAGUUUGUCUGGGAGCCUUACUCAGCAAAUGUUAUGUCAGUGUUGCCUCCAAUUUGUUUAGUUGGAAGUGUUGCAUGGUGCGCGAUGGUGCCACUAAUUUGUUUCCAAGUCAUUGAGUAGCAUCAACCCGAUAGAGUUUUGAGACAAUUUGGCAUGCAACAAUCAAUUCCAAAUUCUCCUUCGCAACCAUUUAAUAUUCAUGGCAUAUCUUUGAGAGGAAAACAUGAGGAAAAUUGGGGGCAACUGUUAGGCCCAAUGAUCAAUCAAUGGAACAAUCGGGCUAAUUUUAGGGUCGACGCUUAUCCUCGACAAGAAGGUCUACUGAACUUUAACUCCAACUAUAUGGUGUGGUAUAGGCAUAAAACAAAGAUGUUUGUUGACCCUAAAAAUGCAAACAUGGGGACACUGGUAUUUUUUA